AGCACCUUGGCGCAAUGGAAGCGCGCCGGGAGUGAGAACUCCGGAGGUACCCCGAUCGAAACGGGGAGGUGCAA